AUUGAACGCUGGCGGCAUGCCUUACACAUGCAAGUCGAACGGCAGCAUAGGAGCUUGCUCCUGAUGGCGAGUGGCGAACGGGUGAGUAAUAUAUCGGAACGUGCCCUAGAGUGGGGGAUAACUAGUCGAAAGACUAGCUAAUACCGCAUACGAUCUACGGAUGAAAGUGGGGGAUCGCAAGACCUCAUGCUCCUGGAGCGGCCGAUAUCUGAUUAGCUAGUUGGUGGGGUAAAAGCCUACCAAGGCGACGAUCAGUAGCUGGUCUGAGAGGACGACCAGCCACACUGGGACUGAGACACGGCCCAGACUCCUACGGGAGGCGGCAGUGGGGAAUUUUGGACAAUGGGGGCAACCCUGAUCCAGCAAUGCCGCGUGAGUGAAGAAGGCCUUCGGGUUGUAAAGCUCUUUUGUCAGGGAAGAAACGGUAGUAGCUAAUAUCUACUACUAAUGACAGUACCUGAAGAAUAAGCACCGGCUAACUACGUGCCAGCCGCCGCAGUAA
rnacentral:rRNA from 1 species